UGAGCUGCAGUCUGGAUCCUGCCUCUGUCAGAUGACCUAACACAAAUGGAAAGAUGACAUCGGCCCUUGCAAGGACUUCAGACAAUGCCAGCACUGGACUACAUACAGUGGUAAUCAUGGGUGCCCAAACUUGUGCAUGUCACUGUACUGAUAUAUACUAUACAAAUAAUAUUUUCAGUAGUCUGUGUCAAAUUUUAUUUCAAGUCAAUGGGUACCAUCAACUGUAUGAUUGACAUCAUUUAUCAGAUUAAAGAAUUUCUGGCAAGUUUAUAACAACAUGAAGUGUUUGGGUGAGAUCUAGACCGAGGACUAAGGCGUAUACUAGGAAAGAACUAAGUGUUGUGGCCCACAGGUGAUCCUAAAGCAACAAAAGAGGAACAAUGGAUAGGAAGAAGUGGUGUCCAGAUGUUUAAAAGGCGGCGUUCGGGACAGGAAACAAAGGCAACAAAGAAGACCUCUAAGGUUUAAAGGCGCUGCUUGCAGAGACAAGUGUAGGAAACAAAGACAGAAGACCUGACGAGAAUGUUUUAUGAUUAAAUGUUUUUGUUAUGUACAUGCACAUUAUUAUUAUUUACAAUAUAUUUCUAAGAUACAUAAAUAUGUGACCUUGUAUAUGAAAUCCAGGCUACUGUCUUAACAUCUAAUGACAUCUAAAGUUUGAAUUUACUGAUUUAACAUUGAGUUCAGUCUUUGGCAUGACCUUACUCGGUCAGUAUUGAAGAUGUCAAGAUUAUAUUUUCAGAGAAUGUUUUCUGUAUUGUGUAGGAUGAUUUUAUGUAGAAAACAGUAAGUCACAAAUAAAUACUUUGCUGGGUUUUCACAGGCUGUGUCCCAUUUGUACAACAUAUGUGAAAUAUCUUGAGACUAAAACUUCUGAAAUCCAAACUGUUAUAUUUUAGCAUUUCAAAUGCAGCCACCUUUUGCCUAGAAUUUGAAAUAUAUACCCUUGGGUUUUUUCAGUAAUUUUUUGAGAUCUCACCCUGAGAUAUUUUUAAAGAAAUGUCCAUGUAUUAUGGGCUUGAAUUACUUGUUUAUUUUAUCAUUUUGUCCAAGUAA